UAAGAUAAGAACAUUGUCGUAAUACGUGAAGUCUUGUUUGAGAAUGCACCGGAUACCUGGUUGUGAAAGAUAAAAGAAAAUUACAACAAAAGGUCCUAACAAUGCAAUAGUAUUAUAGAAAAAUUACAAUUAAACGUUAAAAAUUAUAAACAAAAAUUAAACAAGCUCAAUUAAAUUAUAUUGAAGUUAUAAAAGAAACACAAGGAAAUCCUAAAGAAAUAUAAAAGAAUAUUAGAGAAAACUUAGUCAAACCUUAACAAAAAUCUAAAUAAAUCUUGAAUUCUAACCAAACCCUGAUCUUGAUCCAACCUUAAUCAAACCCUAGACAAACCCUAAAUCUUAAACAUACCCUAAUCAAAUCUUAGACAAAUCCUAAUCUUAACAAAUCCUAAUCAAUUCCAAACCCUAAACAAAUCCUAGUCAAACCCUAGUCAAAUCCUAACUCUAAAUCCUAACCAAAUUCUAAUCCUAACCAAAUCCUAAAUCCUAAACCAAAUCCUAACCAAAUCCUCAUCCUAAAUCCUAAUCAAAUCCUAAUCCAAAUCAAACCCUAAUCAAAGAUUUAAAAUUUAAAUAACUAAAGAUUGAACCGUUGAUUCUAAUUCAAAAUUUGCACACUUCUUGGAAUUUAAGUUAGAACCAGUAUACAAAUUUUGAAGAAAAUCACACUUACCAAUUAGUCAAUGACCUCAAAAUUCCGCUUAGAUGUCGGCCAACCUCUCCUUCUCUAAUGUGAUGCUAAACUUCCAGUGCCAAUAUCUCCUUGUUCCACCAUUCAAUUGAUUCCAAAUUUUACUUACAUAUAGGAAAUCAAGUCUUCUACUGAUAAAAUCAAAAAUCUCUCCAAUCCAACUAGUAAAUUGCUAGAUAUCUAAGAAAACCUUACUGGUCCUCAAAACCCUAAAUCUCGAGAUCUUAGCCUACAAAAACCUUCAUAUGUAUUGAUCUAGCCAUUCGAUUGACUUCAAAUCUCUUACACACAUUCACAACAAGCAUAUCAAUAAGUUUCUAAAUUUUCACCUAUAAAAAUGCUACAAAAGACAC
rnacentral:lncRNA from 1 species